CUUUUAUGGAGAGUUUGAUCCUGGCUCAGAGUGAACGCUGGCGGCGUGCCUAAUACAUGCAAGUCGAACGAUGAAGCUUCUAGCUUGCUAGAAGUGGAUUAGUGGCGCACGGGUGAGUAACGCAUAGGUCAUGUGCCUCUUAGUUUGGGAUAGCCAUUGGAAACGAUGAUUAAUACCAGAUACUCCCUACGGGGGAAAGAUUUAUCGCUAAGAGAUCAGCCUAUGUCCUAUCAGCUUGUUGGUAAGGUAAUGGCUUACCAAGGCUAUGACGGGUAUCCGGCCUGAGAGGGUGAACGGACACACUGGAACUGAGACACGGUCCAGACUCCUACGGGAGGCAGCAGUAGGGAAUAUUGCUCAAUGGGGGAAACCCUGAAGCAGCAACGCCGCGUGGAGGAUGAAGGUUUUAGGAUUGUAAACUCCUUUUGUUAGAGAAGAUAAUGACGGUAUCUAACGAAUAAGCACCGGCUAACUCCGUGCCAGCAGCCGCGGUAAUACGGAGGGUGCAAGCGUUACUCGGAAUCACUGGGCGUAAAGAGCGCGUAGGCGGGAUAGUCAGUCAGGUGUGAAAUCCUAUGGCUUAACCAUAGAACUGCAUUUGAAACUACUAUUCUAGAGUGUGGGAGAGGUAGGUGGAAUUCUUGGUGUAGGGGUAAAAUCCGUAGAGAUCAAGAGGAAUACUCAUUGCGAAGGCGACCUGCUGGAACAUUACUGACGCUGAUUGCGCGAAAGCGUGGGGAGCAAACAGGAUUAGAUACCCUGGUAGUCCACGCCCUAAACGAUGGAUGCUAGUUGUUGGAGGGCUUAGUCUCUCCAGUAAUGCAGCUAACGCAUUAAGCAUCCCGCCUGGGGAGUACGGUCGCAAGAUUAAAACUCAAAGGAAUAGACGGGGACCCGCACAAGCGGUGGAGCAUGUGGUUUAAUUCGAAGAUACACGAAGAACCUUACCUAGGCUUGACAUUGAGAGAAUCCGCUAGAAAUAGUGGAGUGUCUGGCUUGCUAGACCUUGAAAACAGGUGCUGCACGGCUGUCGUCAGCUCGUGUCGUGAGAUGUUGGGUUAAGUCCCGCAACGAGCGCAACCCCCUUUCUUAGUUGCUAACAGGUCAUGCUGAGAACUCUAAGGAUACUGCCUCCGUAAGGAGGAGGAAGGUGGGGACGACGUCAAGUCAUCAUGGCCCUUACGCCUAGGGCUACACACGUGCUACAAUGGGGUGCACAAAGAGAAGCAAUACUGCGAAGUGGAGCCAAUCUUCAAAACGCCUCUCAGUUCGGAUUGUAGGCUGCAACUCGCCUGCAUGAAGCUGGAAUCGCUAGUAAUCGCAAAUCAGCCAUGUUGCGGUGAAUACGUUCCCGGGUCUUGUACUCACCGCCCGUCACACCAUGGGAGUUGUGUUUGCCUUAAGUCAGGAUGCUAAAUUGGCUACUGCCCACGGCACACACAGCGACUGGGGUGAAGUCGUAACAAGGUAACCGUAGGUGAACCUGCGGUUGGAUCACCUCCUUUCU
rnacentral:rRNA from 1 species